rnacentral:rRNA from 1 species
AAUCAACGCUGGCGGCGUGCCUCAGACAUGCAAGUCGAACGAUUAAACUUUCCUUCGGGAAAGAUAUAAAGUGGCGCACGGGUGAGUAACACGUAGGUAAUGUACCUUUGGGUGGGGAAUAACUUAGGGAAACUUAAGCUAAUACCGCAUAAUGCAGCGGCUCCUUCGGGAGACAGUUGUUAAAGAUUUAUCGCCUAAAGAGCAGCCUGCGGCAGAUUAGCUAGUUGGUAGGGUAACGGCACCAAGGCGACGAUCUGUAUCCGACCUGAGAGGGU